ACAAAAAUAUAGUUUUUUUAAAAAAUUUAAGUACCGUGACAUGGGAUUGUAUCUGAAACUUGCUGGCACGGUACGACACGAUGCGUGUCGGACCGUGACAAUGCGUGUCGGUCAUAAAAAAUAUAUGUAUGCUGACAUGUCAUACUAUGAAAUAUUUAUUUUCUUUAGUAAUAAAAUAUGUCAAUCAUUUAUUAUAUAUUUUUAUCAAAAUUUUUAAACUUUAUUGAGAAAAUUACUCACUGAUUUAAAGAAUAGAGGAUUUUGAACUGUGCCAUCGGUACGAAGGCUGUAUCGUACGAUGGAUACGGCUCCUA
rnacentral:lncRNA from 1 species